rnacentral:rRNA from 1 species
GAGUGCGAUCAUACCAGCACUAAUGCACCGGAUCCCAUCAGAACUCCGCAGUUAAGUGUGCUUGGGCUAGAGUAGUACUAGGAUGGGUGACCUCAUGGGAAGUUUUAGUGUUGCACCCC